GAUGAACGCUGGCGGCGUGCCUAAUACAUGCAAGUCGAGCGAACAGACGGGGAGCUUGCUCCUCUGACGUUAGCGGCGGACGGGUGAGUAACACGUGGAUAACCUACCUAUAAGACUGGGAUAACUUCGGGAAACCGGAGCUAAUACCGGAUAAUAUAUUGAACCGCAUGGUUCAAUAGUGAAAGACGGUUUUGCUGUCACUUAUAGAUGGAUCCGCGCCGCAUUAGCUAGUUGGUAAGGUAACGGCUUACCAAGGCGACGAUGCGUAGCCGACCUGAGAGGGUGAUCGGCCACACUGGAACUGAGACACGGUCCAGACUCCUACGGGAGGCAGCAGUAGGGAAUCUUCCGCAAUGGGCGAAAGCCUGACGGAGCAACGCCGCGUGAGUGAUGAAGGUCUUCGGAUCGUAAAACUCUGUUAUUAGGGAAGAACAAAUGUGUAAGUAACUAUGCACGUCUUGACGGUACCUAAUCAGAAAGCCACGGCUAACUACGUG
rnacentral:rRNA from 1 species